GGGCAGGCCAAGCAUCCUAAACCUGCGACACUCACCCUGCCCACACUCUCAGAGCUGCAGCUUUCAUGGGGGUGACAUGAAUGCUUGUAAAUGAGCUUGCUGAAUGGGAGACCAAGAACAAUGAUGAUAUUGAGCUGUUACUACGUGCCAGACAUUUAACCCUUUCAUCCAGAUUAUCUCAAUCAUUCCUCACAAAAAGGCUUUUGAGAUGUCCUUGCAACUGGAGGUGCCAUAUGAUACAGUUCUGCCCAAA